rnacentral:rRNA from 1 species
CUUUACAUCUAUUGCUUUGAAAGUGUAUGAUCCCAUCAGAUUUCAGAAGGUAAGCAGGUUGGGGCUGGUGAAUACUUGGAUGGGAAGCUCACAGGAAUCUUUAGAUGGGGCCAGGA